AGCAGCCGCGGUAAUUCCAGCUCCAAUAGCGUAUAUUAAAGUUGUUGCAGUUAAAAAGCUCGUAGUUGAAUUUCGGGAUCAGUUGGUCGGUCGUGCCUCGGUACGUACUGGUCAAAUUGAUUCCUACCUUCUGACGAACCACGAUGUCAUUAAUUUGGUGUCGCGGGAAAUCAGGACUGUUACUUUGGAAAAAUUAGAGUGUUUAAAGCAGGCUCGCGCUUGAAUACAUUAGCAUGGAAUAAUGAAAUAGGACGUUUGAUUCUAUUUUGUUGGUUUCUAGGAUCGACGUAAUGAUUAAUAGGGAUAGUUGGGGGCAUUAGUAUUCAAUUGUCAGAGGUGAAAUUCUUGGAUUUAUUGAAGACUAACUACCGCGAAAGCAUUUGCCAAGGAUGUUUUCAUUAAUCAAGAACGAAAGUUAGGGGAUCGAAGACGAUCAGAUACCGUCGUAGUCUUAACCAUAAACUAUGCCGACUAGGGAUCG
rnacentral:misc_RNA from 1 species